GACGAACGCUGGCGGCGUGCUUAACACAUGCAAGUCGAACGGAAAGGCCCUGCUUGCAGGGUACUCGAGUGGCGAACGGGUGAGUAACACGUGGGUGAUCUGCCCUGCACUUCGGGAUAAGCCUGGGAAACUGGGUCUAAUACCGGAUAGGAGCCAUUUUUAGUGUGAUGGUUGGAAAGUUUUUUCGGUGUAGGAUGAGCUCGCGGCCUAUCAGCUUGUUGGUGGGGUAAUGGCCUACCAAGGCGGCGACGGGUAGCCGGCCUGAGAGGGUGGACGGCCACAUUGGGACUGAGAUACGGCCCAGACUCCUACGGGAAGCAGCAGUGGGGAAUAUUGCACAAUGGGCGCAAGCCUGAUGCAGCGACGCCGCGUGGGGGAUGACGGCCUUCGGGUUGUAAACUCCUUUCGCUAGGGACGAAGCUUUUUGUGACGGUACCUAGAUAAGAAGCACCGGCUAACUACGUG
rnacentral:rRNA from 1 species